rnacentral:tRNA from 1 species
GGAGAGAUGGCCGAGUGGUUGAUGGCUCCGGUCUUGAAAACCGGUAUAGUUUUUAACAAAGAAUUAUCGAGGGCCCUCUCUCUCCU